rnacentral:rRNA from 1 species
GNANGGUGCAAGCGNUAUCCGGANUUACUGGGNGNAAAGGGAGCGNAGACGGCNGUGNAAGUCNGAAGNGAAAGCCCGGGGCUCAACCCCGGGACUGCUUNGGAAACUANGCAGCUAGAGUGUCGGAGAGGCAAGUGGAAUUUCCAGUGUAGCGGUGAAAUGCGUAGAUAUUGGGAGGAACACCAGUGGCGAAGGCGGCUUGCUGGACGAUGACUGACGUUGAGGCUCGAAAGCGUGGGGAGCAAACAGGAUUAGAUACCCUGGUAGUCCACGCCGUAAACGAUGACUACUAGGUGUCGGGUGGCAGAGCCAUUUCGGUGCCGCAGCAAACGCAAUAAGUAGUCCACCUGGGGCGU